rnacentral:rRNA from 1 species
UAAGGAAUAUUGGUCAAUGGAGGCAACUCUGAACCAGCCAUGCCGCGUGCAGGAAGACAGCCCUCUGGGUCGUAAACUGCUUUUAUUCGGGAAUAAACCACAUUACGUGUAAUGUGCUGAAUGUACCGAAGGAAUAAGGAUCGGCUAACUCCGUGCCAGCAGCCGCGGUAAUACGGAGGAUCCAAGCGUUAUCCGGAUUUAUUGGGUUUAAAGGGUGCGUAGGCGGCUUAUUAAGUCAGGGGUGAAAGACGGUGGCUCAACCAUCGCAGUGCCCUUGAUACUGAUGAGCUUGAAUGAACUAGAGGUAGGCGGAAUGUGACAAGUAGCGGUGAAAUGCAUAGAUAUGUCACAGAACACCGAUUGCGAAGGCAGCUUACUAUGGUUUUAUUGACGCUGAGGCACGAAAGCGUGGGGAUCAAACA